rnacentral:rRNA from 1 species
CCUACGGGGGGCAGCAGUAGGGAAUCUUUCACAAUGGGCGAAAGCCUGAUGGAGCAACGCCGCGUGCAGGAUGAAGGCCUUCGGGUUGUAAACUGCUUUUAUAAGCGAGAAAUAUGAUGGUAACUUAUGAAUAAGGAUCGGCUAACUACGUGCCAGCAGCCGCGGUCAUACGUAGGAUCCGAGCAUUAUCCGGAGUGACUGGGUGUAAAGAGUUGCGUAGGUGGCAUAAUAAGUAGCUAGUGAAAUCGGGUGGCUCAACCAUUCAGACUAUUAGCUAAACUGUUAAGCUCGAGAACGUUAGGGGUAACUGGAAUUUCUAGUGUAGGAGUGAAAUCCGUAGAUAUUAGAAGGAACACCAAUAGCGUAGGCAGGUUACUGGGACGGUUCUGACACUAAGGCACGAAAGCGUAGGGAGCAAACGGGAUUAGAUACCCCGGUAGUC